UACGUAGGUGGCAAGCGUUGUCCGGAUUUAUUGGGUUAAAGGGUGCGUAGGCGGUCCUAUAAGUCAGUGGUGAAAUACUCUAGCUUAACUAGAGGGGUGCCAAUGAUACUGAGUAGUGUAGUACAGAUGAGGUAGGCGGAAUUGACGGUGUAGCGGUGAAAUGCGUAGAGAUCGGGAGGAACAUCAGUGGCGAAGGCGGCCAUCUGGGACAACACUGACGCUGAGGCACGAAAGCAUGGGGAGCAAACAGG
rnacentral:rRNA from 1 species